rnacentral:rRNA from 1 species
CCUCCCACCCGUGUCUAUCGUACCUUGUUGCUUCGGCGGGCCCGCCGUUUCGACGGCCGCCGGGGAGGCCUUGCGCCCCCGGGCCCGCGCCCGCCGAAGACCCCAACAUGAACGCUGUUCUGAAAGUAUGCAGUCUGAGUUGAUUAUCGUAAUCAGUUAAAACUUUCAACAACGGAUCUCUUGGUUCCGGCAUCGAUGAAGAACGCAGCGAAAUGCGAUAAGUAAUGUGAAUUGCAGAAUUCAGUGAAUCAUCGAGUCUUUGAACGCACAUUGCGCCCCCUGGUAUUCCGGGGGGCAUGCCUGUCCGAGCGUCAUUGCUGCCCUCAAGCACGGCUUGUGUGUUGGGCCCCCGUCCCCCUCUCCCGGGGGACGGGCCCGAAAGGCAGCGGCGGCACCGCGUCCGGUCCUCGAGCGUAUGGGGCUUUGUCACCUGCUCUGUAGGCCCGGCCGGCGCCAGCCGACACCCAACUUUAUUUUUCUAAGGUUGACCUCGGAUCAGGUAGGGAUACCCGCUGAACUUAAGCAUAUC